rnacentral:lncRNA from 1 species
ACUCCUACAGGAGAUGAGGAUUCCCAGAGCUCUCUGACUGGAUCUCCUGUAGCCCAGGCUGGCCUUGGUUUUGCUAUGUAAUGACCUCCAGCCCCCGAUUCUCCUGCCCCCCGUACCUCCUGAAUGUUGGGAUAACAGGCAUUCAUUACCACAGCUGUUUUUAACACAGGGCUAGGGACAGACAGAGUGAGGCCUUGUGCAGUUAGGAACCUGAGAGGAAACCGGCCACGUUGAAGGUCGAAGGCAGGACUUCCCUGGCCCAGGCUUUUGGGCGGCGCCCGCCUAGGAGGAGCCUGCCACCCACUGGGAGCGAGCAGUACUGCAGGCGCAGGUGCUGGAGACUCACCCCCUACCCCAGUCCUUUGCCUGAUUUUCCUCUGCCCAAAGGGUUCUUGUCCUCAUGUGACUUACAGUCUAUGGACUGACAAGUGCGACAGAAAUCCCGGUAGCAGCUGAACAGCCUGGGUUUUUUUUUUUUUGAUGGGAGGAUUUUUUUUUAAAACAACACAAAUUGUAUACAUUCAUAGCCUAAUAUUUAAAAAGAAAAAAAAGCCUUCAUAGCUUUCACCACACGUGUGCAUAGCUGAUACACAAACUGGAGGCAGCCAUUUGCGAUAUUUUGUAGGCAGCCUUUCUGUUUAAAAAGUGUUUAAAUACAAUGUGGUAGG